rnacentral:misc_RNA from 1 species
GAUGAAGAACGCAGCGAAAUGCGAUAAGUAGUGUGAAUUGCAGAAUUCCGUGAAUCAUCGAAUCUUUGAACGCACAUUGCGCCUCCUGGUAUUCCGGGAGGCAUGCCUGUUCGAGCGUCACCAAAUCCAACUCAAGCGGUUUUGCGCUUGGUCGUGGCGGAAGAGUCGGUCUGGUUGCCGUCUCCCCUCCGAAAAUCAACGGCGGAAAGUCACUGGCAGUCAGCGUAGUAGUAUCGUUCGCCGAACAUCCAGUGGCAUUCCUGCCGACGUACCCCCACAAUUCUCGUGAUUGACCUCGGAUCAGGUAGGGAUACCCGCUGAACUUAAGCAUAUCAAUAAGCGGAGGA